UCCAUUCGUAACCAAACCCCAACCCCCAUUGCUUUUUCCCUUCCUCUGGCCUCCGCCACCACCAUGCCAUUUACGCGGGUUGCCAACCUGGUUCAACUGCCGUAGGUCUCUCCGGCCUCGAUGGCCGCCUCCUCACCGCCCGUCCCAGCCCCAAGGUCGCCGAUCUAGGCUUCGUCGGCGAGGUCGCCAGAGUCGACCCCACAAUCCUUUGCUACCUCAUCGACACCAACCACAUCCCGGUCGUCACCUCCGUCGCCGUUGCCGUUGAAGAUUCCGGACAGCCCUACAGCAUUAACGCCGACACUAUCGCUGGAGAACUGGCUGCAGCGCUUGGCGCGAGAAGCUAAUUCUGCUGACAGACGUUGCGGGAUCUGGAGGAUCGGAACGGUUACAACAGCUUGGUGAAGAAGAUUGACAUAAACUUUACCUUUCAUAACAUUAUGGAUUAUAUUAUACUUGCAUUUAUUUAUGUUUCUAAUUUUUAAUGUUCUUUUCUGUUUAUGUUGUUUCAUGAAGAUAUGAUCUGUCUAAUAUUCUUGCGCGUUUCUUGAUAGUUGGACAUGAUUAUGCUUCUUGGAAUAAUUGAAUUAAUUUAAUCAGACAAUUAAAGUAUUGUUUGUGAGUAACACCAUGCUUUGCAGGCUGCAGAUACCUUGUGUUGCAUUCAUGCUGUGAUAUUUUUGAGAUAAAUGAAUCAACAAGAUGAAGUACUGUUCAUAUUGUGCAAUGAGUGUUAAGUCCAGUAAUGCAGCAAAACAAAAUUCUCUUUCUAGUUCAUUAUUGAACAAUUGGAUGUGUUUUUUUUAAGAGAUAUCCUAUGUUAAUUCUCUCUCUCUCAUCUGAGGUAAGGUGCUUAGAUUUUGAUCUUAUAAAUGUUAGUUCCACUUUUACUGAUAGUUGAUGUCAGAAUCAAAUAUGUGGUCUCUUUACAGGUUAAAGAAGAAGUUGAAGCAGUCUUAAAGAGACAUUUAACCAGCAUGAAACAAUAAGAACUAAUCUCCUACUGAUUAUAUAAAUUCCCAUGACUUGGACGUGGUAUUGAGUUAAAGGAAUGGACUGGAAAAAUAUGCUAUAACUGAAUGAUUUAAAAUUGUUUAGCUUGACUGAAAUUCAUUCUUAGGCAUCCUUUUUACUUGUUUUCAGGACUUGUGGAAAGGAAUUGCAUGCUACUGAAUUAAGAAAUUUGCACCAUUAGUUUACUUGGUGGUUUUGGAGCUUCAAGAGGAUGAAAAACUGACCACUUCGGAUGAUCCUCCUAUCGUAUUUGGCUGUUUGGAUGGAAGCUUUAUACAAUAGGGUUUUCGCUCAUCUAAUAGUCUUUCCAGCAGUGCUUUUGAUGUAGUGCAUCAGGUUGAUGCCAAGUAUCCAGCUUUGCUUUUCAAGCAACAGCUUGCAGCUUACGUGGAAAAAUUAUAUGGAAUCAUUCAAGAAAAUUUCAAGGCAGAUUUGACAUCUCUGCUUUCUUCUUGUAUUAAGGCAGAUAGAGAAUCAAAUGACAACAGUCAACAAGCUGGUUCUUGGCUCAGCAUUAUGGAAUGUCUUAAUAAAUAUCUCAAGAUUGUGAAAGAAAACUAUGUAUGUGAACGUUUGACAGUACAGUGAAUUGGUAUCUGUACAGCCCUUGACUUCCAAGUCCUUUUUAAUGUUAUAGAGCAAACUGAUUUUAUGUUUUGCCC